rnacentral:piRNA from 1 species
ACUAUGUGGAAUUGGUCCAGCGG